rnacentral:lncRNA from 1 species
CUUUAAAGGAAUUUGCCCGGGGGAAGAAGACAGCUGCUGCCCUGAUGAGGGAUUUUUCUGAGCAGGCCUCCCGAGCCAGACAUGUCAGUGUGAGAUGCUGCCCACGUUUUUCAUCGUGACCAACAGGACCCACCAGAGAGGGGAUUUUGGGAGCAUUUCACAAGGCCUGCGGCUGUGAGCUGGUUCCAGCAUGAGGAAAAGCCCUCCUUCACCCCAAUGCACAGGAAAGAGAAGACAGAUGACAGUAGCUAUCCUCCUUCCAUUCUGAGGAAAAGGCCACCUGUGGACCAAGCUGUGGGGGAAAAGCGGAGAGCAGAGAGAAGGGUUCGAUUUCGUGAGCCAGAAGAAGUCAUUGAACAUGUCAUUUCCUGCUGUGACUACGUUGUGGGUAAGUUGAAUUUUUCACAUUAUAACUGUGAGCCAUCCAUAGCAUUAACCUGAGUUUGAUUUUCAGCUGGUGGGGUGCACUGUGCAAAUAUACCCUCCAUUUACACAGCAUUUUGUGUUGUCAGUGGUUGUUGCUUUUUCUUCUCAGAGUAAGCAGCACAAUGAUGUGCUCUGGUGCAAUUUUAAACAAGACAUCUAGUAAGACAGAUAGUGGAAACAAAAAUUAAAUCCCUGAAGCUAUUUUUAAUUUAAAUAUAAUUAAUAUAUUUUUAUGGCAUUAGAAUAGGUACAGGUUUCUCACUAAGAUAUGCAAGGAAAGCACCCCAAGCUAAACAAUAGUUCUCCCCGCCGAGUUCCACAUGAGGGAAAGAGACAAUUCAUUUAUAUGCUGACAGCAGGGUAGAAAUAAUAAAAAUAAUUGUUUUUUUCUCUUUUCUGUUUGA